rnacentral:rRNA from 1 species
CCUACGGGAGGCAGCAGUGAGGAAUAUUGGUCAAUGGACGAGAGUCUGAACCAGCCAAGUAGCGUGAAGGAUGAAUGCCCUAUGGGUUGUAAACUUCUUUUAUAUGGGAAUAAAAUGUUCCACGUGUGGGAUUUUGUAUGUACCAUAUGAAUAAGGAUCGGCUAACUCCGUGCCAGCAGCCGCGGUAAUACGGAGGAUCCGAGCGUUAUCCGGAUUUAUUGGGUUUAAAGGGAGCGUAGGUGGAUUGUUAAGUCAGUUGUGAAAGUUUGCGGCUCAACCGUAAAAUUGCAGUUGAAACUGGCAGUCUUGAGUACAGUAGAGGUGAGCGGAAUUCGUGGUGUAGCGGUGAAAUGCUUAGAUAUCACGAAGAACUCCGAUUGCGAAGGCAGUUCACUGGACUGCAACUGACACUGAGGCUCGAAAGUGUGGGUAUCAAACAGGAUUAGAUACCCCAGUAGUC